rnacentral:lncRNA from 1 species
GGGUGAUCCUGGUGUGGGCAUCCCGGGGCCGCCUGGACCUCCUGGACCUGCAGGAACAUACAAGUAUCCGGUAUGUACCAUUACAUGUUAUUAUGUGCAUAUUGAUAUAAUUAUGCAUGUCAUAACAGCAGAUGGCCUGACUGUAGCAGGACGGCAUCGACGGCUCCGGAUCGAGCUAUGUGGAUCUGGACAGUGACGCAGAGCUGAUACGGGGUCCUCCAGGGCCACCGGGGCCACCGGGACCUCCGGGCCCUUCUGUCGGAGCUCAUCCGGGGCCCAUUGGGCCUCCAGGGGUUCCUGGAAGAGACGGGGAGACGGGCAAACCUGGAGUCCCGGGUGAAAAUGGACGAGACGGUCAACCAGGAAAAGAUGGAGAAGAAGGGCAG